UACGUAGGGGGCAAGCGUUGUCCGGAAUCAUUGGGCGUAAAGAGCGUGUAGGCGGCCCGAUAAGUCCGCUGUGAAAGUCCAGGGCUCAACCCUGGAAUGCCGGUGGAUACUGUCGGGCUCGAGUCCGGAAGAGGUGAGUGGAAUUCCUGGUGUAGCGGUGAAAUGCGCAGAUAUCGGGAAGAACACCCGUGGCGAAGGCGGUUCUCUGGGACGGUACUGACGCUGAGACGCGAAAGCGUGGGGAGCGAACAGG
rnacentral:rRNA from 1 species